rnacentral:sRNA from 1 species
UACCCCUCUUUCUGGGCCAAUGCGUACUUGCACGGAGAACCUUCCCCCUCGGAGUAUGCCCUCGGCCGAUCUGCCAUUGAAGUCAUAAUUAGCAACAAUCUCCUUUUGUGCGGUUGGAAGCUUCUUCCGGUCCCAGGUACGUUUUUGAUCCGAUCAGAUCAACUGUCUCGUGGAUGGGCCAGGGCGAGGCCAACAAUGAGUUCGCCUUUCUCCCGCCCUACAAAGAUCUACCUAUUACAACCAGAGAUUAUCAUUAACUAUCAUUAUUAUUAUCAUCAUUAUAUUACGAACCCCAACGAUGAAGCUCCAUAUUUAAUUCGAUUGUGAUACCAAAAGUCCCAGCGGCAAAAAGCAACCAAUCCCCUUUUUAAGCUACUCAAUGGAAUGGUUCCUCAAUAGUUAGUUAAUAUAUAUAUAUAAAUCUUCUAUCCUCCUACCAUCUUUACUUUCCUUCCAUCGUUCAUGCUCGUACCAGUUCGGAUCGCCCCUCCUCGUCACACGAACUGCAUACAUCCGUAUAUGAGGGGCCCUCCCCCCUUGUAAAUAUAUCCUUCAUCCAACCUCCCAGCCACCUCCUCGGUCUAUCUCUCUCUCUUUCUGUGUUUGUGUGUGUGUCUGUUUACUUGUUUAUCAGGUGAUAGAUGUCGAGUUUCUCUCGAUAAGAUAACAUUCAUCCCUGCUAACCCUCUAACCCGCUAACCCGCUAACCCGCUAACCCGCUAAACCCCCGCUGCGACCUCUUGCUUGUUAAUAAAACACCUUCGAUCUCGAUACACGAUUACGAGUUCCGCUCUUCUGCUGCAUAAGCCGAAUUGUGUCUCUCCCAUCCAAUCCUCGCCGCGCCAUGGAUUGUUGGUUGGUAUGGGUAUGGGAGGGGGCCGUAGGAUAUUUUUCCGAACAAGUGCGGGAAGGCAAGGUAGGGAGGGAGGUGAGGAGGAGUAGAAUCGAAGAGUUAAGGCACAUUGGCCAAUUUUCUCUUCCAUACUAGCAAACUCAUGUUAAGUUACUACAGCGUAGCUAUGACUCGAUUAAAUUGUUGUGAUGAGUUUUUAACGAGUUCACCUUGUCAAGUGACUAACUUUGCCUUGCCUUGCCUUGCCUUGCCUUGCCUUUCCUUGCUUUCAUGAUGUGAUGUGAUGUGAUGUGAUGGCUUUUUUUCAAGUUCUUUUUCAUAUCUUGAUGGGAUCUAUCUUCCCUUCUUCGGCGAACUUGUUGGAGCAGCAAAAUUAAAAAAGACC